CUUUUAGAUCUUUCAAUGCUCUGCGUUCUUGUAUAUUUAAAUUAAACUGAUAUUUGUUUAAAGGUUUCAAUGAUUCUACUUCAUGGUUUACCAUUUUUUUGAAAGGUAGUCAUUUCAUCUGAAAUCUUCCAUUUUGGGAAAAAGGAAGAUUUAUCUUUUCAUUUAGUAUGUAUAAUAUCUGACUCUGACUCAUUACUAGUGAUGGGGUCUUCGGUUUUAUGCAUGAUUGCACUUUAACGGUUUUCUCUUGCUUGGUGUAGAUUACACUGAUUAAUGCUUCCCAUGUUACAUUUUUUGACAUCCAUCUUUUUUAGAAUAUUAAUCAUGCCUUUGAAAAUGCCAUUGUGUCAAAUAUUCCUACCUCUGUAUAUGUUAAAAGUACAUACUUAAUACAGAGCUUACCAUGUAAUUGCAUUUGUAUAUUAUUAUUAUCAUUGUGCCGAAGUGCCCUUCGCCACUUGGUCCUGGAGAGGCCUGCUUGCCAGCCUCUUGCCCUAUGAUUAUGGCCCUGGGGUGUAUUGCCCUUUAAAAACAGUAUAUGGGCAUAUGAAGACUUUUUGUGACAAUGUCCCUUUAAAACUGUGUCCCCAGACUGUUAAACUACUUUGUGCAUGUCAUUUUCCUAUUUGGUUCGGUAAAUGGGGCUAACUGAACCAAGUACUACACAGAAGUGGAAGUGUGCGGCUAAUUUACUUCCCAGGCUGGCGGAUAACCGCAGGUUAAUUGCAGACACCUGGGUGGUCUCCGUUCGUGCAGUCGAACACAUGGCGGCGGCCAUCUUUGUUAGUCAAACACGGACAGCGGUGUGUGCAGCCAAAUCUAUGGAACUAAAAUCUGCUACCCAUUUGCAUGAACACCGCUGACCGUUACCUUCUCCUCCACUUUGACGCUUCGGCUGAAAACUAAGUCCUGUUCGACGAUUCGAACGCACAGUAUACUAAGCCAUUUGCACGAACGGUGCUCCGUUCGUGCAUUCAAAUGGGACUUAGUCAUUUUUCUGAGUGAAAUUGACCGACCGCACAGCCCAAAUCUAUGGAACUGUUUUGGGCAGGAAUGCAUGCUUGUGGUCGGUCAAAAAGGACUUCCAGCUAACUUUUUAACCACUGGAGGUAAUUGUCUGAUUUUUGGGUAUGUUUGUAUUUGUAUUAUACGGAUUAAUAAUAUGU